rnacentral:lncRNA from 1 species
UUUUUCCGCCAGUCUUGGCGGAAGCCUGAGACGCAAUAGAUGGAGACUCUCCUUUUCGCCUUGGCGUACUCUUUUUUUUUUUUUCCUCCCUGGAGCUGGUCUUGUGGGGCAGCCCUAAAAUGUAUCUCCAAGUGACCCUGCACUCAUCACUUGCUGCCUUGGACUUAGUUUCCUCAUUCGUAGAAUGGAGACACCACACUUUCUGAAGUGCUUAUGAGACUUGCAGGAGGCCUAGGACCUAGGAGCACAUGAUGGGACGCGGUCAACAAAACAUUCAGAAUGAGCAAAUCAAUAUGGAACGUGUUGUCUGGCUUUUCUUGGCAGCAUGGGUUCUUUGAAGAGUUUUAAAGAGAAUUCACAAUUACUGAAUAUUACAUAAUUUGAAGAUGAGUAAACUGCUUUCAUCACUGCUCUGGCAAUAAAAUCUGGAAAUCUGGAGAACUCUAGCUUCUAAAAACUAUCUUAUGAUCCAAUUCAGAAUGUGUAGUUCUGCACACAUCGUACAUUUCUUUUUCCUAAGCCAAAUGAUCAUCAAUUCAUCUAAAACCAUUGUCAGGAGGCCCUAUGCUAUGCAAGACUAAUUGUGAGUGUGACUGUAUGCAAAAACAAACAAACAAACAAGGGAAAAAAAGCUUGUUAAAAAGGGAAUUCUUUACUCAAGAGGCAGGAAAAAAAUACCUCCUGACUAGGGAAAGCACAUAUUGAUAGUUCCAGCAGCAACAAACCUGGAGAUCUCUGUCAUUUCUGUUCAAGUGCAUGAAAAGCAAGGCAGCAAAAGCUGUUGGUGCUGUGAGCAUAGAAGGCUAAGGACAUACUUCCCAGCAACUUGCUCGGACUGGACGGUGACUGGAGCUGAUUCCUGAGAUGGGAGUGUGAGCUUGGCAGGCUUUGACAUGGAGCCAGGCCAAAGUGGGAGGCCAAAUUUACAGUGUCAAAUAAACCAUGACUUAGGCGAGAUUUUGUUCAAAAGUAUCAUUGGAAGGGGUUGGAUGGUGGUGGGGUGUGGGGAGACUAUUGUAAUAAAUAGAACACUCUACACAUGAGAUCUGCAGGCAUCUCAAGAGUUAGGCAAAAAGUGGUUUUGUUUUAUAGGAGGAAUAAACAAGGAAGUGAUGUGAGGAAGUGGAUGAAGGGGUCCCAAAAGUGGGUAGUGGAUCAGGGAACAUUCUUCUGGAGGCCAGCCUGUUCUUAGGAGUGAGUGAAGACCAGCUCAGGCUGAUGGUGGGCCAAGGUUCUGGGACCUGGGGAAAGGACAGAAACUUAACCAAAGUUCAAUAAAUAAGAAUUUUGUUUCCAUUAAUUUCAGGGGAAAAAAUAGUUCAGCUAAUCUAUGAGGCAAAGAAUAGGAAUUUGGAAGGCCCAGUCUGGCCUGUCAUAAGUAAACAGGGGCAGGGGUGGGGUGAUAUGGUUAAGCUUUGUGUCCCCACCCAAAUCUCACCUU